rnacentral:rRNA from 1 species
UACGGAGGGCGCAAGCGUUGUUCGGAAUCACUGGGCGUAAAGCGCGUGUAGGCGGCUUGGCAAGUCGGAUGUGAAAUCCCGAGGCUCAACCUCGGAACUGCACUCGAAACUGCCUGGCUCGAGUCCCGGAGAGGGUGGCGGAAUUCCCGGUGUAGGGGUGAAAUCCGUAGAGAUCGGGAGGAACACCAGUGGCGAAGGCGGCCACCUGGACGGUGACUGACGAUGAGACGCGAAAGAGUGGGGAGCAAACAGG